rnacentral:rRNA from 1 species
UGCGGAAGGAUCAUUACC